rnacentral:lncRNA from 1 species
GUAUGAACACAAGGUCCAAGAGUGCACAUCUUAUACCAUAGACCUUGAAAUUGAAGCUUUUUGCUGACACAACAAAACAAGAGCAAUGAGAGAUAAACAAUUGGAAGUAAAUAUGGCGGAGAAUCAAGAUUUGAUUCGUCAACUUCAAAGACAAUCGGAGGCUAUGCGGGGACAACUUAAUGAUAAAGAAGCUCAAAAGGAAUAGAGUUCCACCACUACCUAUUAGUGAAAUGUUCCAAUCCGUGGCUCAACAAAGAGGAGUUGUCUUGGACUCACAACAAGCUAUAACGAAGGGAAAGGGUCGUGGAAAGCGUGGAACAUGCACAUGCGCUUCUUAUAGCGGCGCGCCUUUUCUUCUUGAUGGUGCACAAAGGCUUCAUAUUGCCACCUUUGCUCCGCUUGGAUGACCUCAAAUUGCGUUAUGUGGGCGGCUUAGAAAGCAUAAAAAUGGUCCAUCAUCUAAGCUUCGAAUUUGGUCCCGUCAAAUGGAGGUGGUGGUGCACCCCACGCUUGAUGAUCUGAG